UAGUUAAACAAUGCUCUCUAUUUUACCAUAUGUUUAAUAUGCAUGUUAAUUCAAUUUUUAGUAUUGUUCAAUAUGGCAUCUUUACGAAGUAAAUUUGAGGAACAUUUGACGUGCUCUGUUUGUUUGGAACAAUUAAAAGACCCCAAGGUUUUACCAUGUUUGCAUUCCUUCUGUCAUGAGUGUAUUGUAAAUCUUGCAAAGAAAGGCAAGUCAAAUCAUAUCAACUGUCCUGAAUGUAGGAAAGUUGUAGAGGU